AUUCUGGUUGAUCCUGCCAGUAGUUAUAUGCUUGUCUCAAAGAUUAAGCCAUGCAUGUCUAAGUACACACGAAUUAAAAGUGAAACCGCAAAAGGCUCAUUAUAUCAGUUAUGGUUCCUUAGAUCGUUAACAGUUACUUGGAUAACUGUGGUAAUUCUAGAUCUAAUAAAUGCAAUUAAAACACGGACCUUAUGGGACGUGUGCUUUUAUUAGGCUAAAACCAAGCGAUCGCAAGAUCGUUACAUUGGUUGAACUCUAGAUAACAUGCAGAUCGUAUGUUCUUGUACCGACGACAGGUCUUUCAAAUGUCUGCCCUAUCAACUUUUGAUGGUAGUAUCUAGGACUACCAUGGUUGCAACGGGUAACGGGGAAUCAGGGUUCGAUUCCGGAGAGGGAGCCUGAGAAACGGCUACCACAUCUAAGGAAGGCAGCAGGCGCGUAAAUUACCCACUCCCAGCUCGGGGAGGUAGUGACGAAAAAUAACAAUACAGGACUCAUAUCCGAGGCCCUGUAAUUGGAAUGAGUACACUUUUAAUCCUUUAACAAGGACCAAUUGGAGCGCAUGUCUGGUGCCAGCAGCCGCGGUAAUUCCAGCUCCAAUAGCUGGUUAAAACGUUCGUAGUUGAACUUGUGCUUCAUACGGGUAGUACAACUUACAAUUGUGGUUAGUACUAUACCUUUAUGUAUGUAAGCGUAUUACCGAUGGAGUUCUUAUAUAUAAUUAAGUACUUGUAUUUUUUUAUAUAGUCCUCCU
rnacentral:ncRNA from 1 species